rnacentral:rRNA from 1 species
GACGAACGCUGGCGGCGUGCCUAAUACAUGCAAGUAGAACGCAGUUGCGAACGGGUGAGUAACGUGUAUGUAACCGCCCCACAGCGGGGGAAAACUAUUGGAAAAGAUAGCUAAUACCGCACUCUGUGUGAUGGAUCUGCGUUGUGUUAGCUAGUUGGUGCGGUGAAGGCUCACCAAGGGGACGAUACAUAGCCGACCUGGGAGGGUGAUCGGCCACACUGGGACUGUGACACGGGCCAGAAUCCUUCGGGAGGGAGCAAGAGGGAAUCUUGGGCAAUGGGCGGAAGUCUGGCCGAGCAACGCCGCGUGAGUGAAGAAAGUUUUCGGAGCGUGAAGCUCUGUUGUUAGGGAAGCGGUAACUAAACAAGAAGGGACGGCUAACUACGUGCCAGCAGCCGCGGUAAUAC